UCCUUUUCUUUGGUGUUCCCAUCGCGUGGAUUGUCUACGACAGUAUAACGAGCACCACAAGCCCGGGUUUGUUUAGAGUUUGCUCUCCUAGGCAGAUUGCCUACCACGGCUGACGACCUCCACCUGCCCGGGUUUAUUGUUCGGAGUUUGCUCUCCUAGGUGAACUGCCUACCACGGCUGACGACCUCCACCUGGCCGGGUUUAUUGUUCGGAGUUUGCUCUCCUAGGUGAACUGCCUACCACGGCUGACGACCUCCACCUGCCCGGGUUUGUUGUUCGGAGUUUGCUCUCCUAGGUGAAUUGCCUACCACGGCUAACGAGCCCCACCUGCCCGGGUUUGUUUAGAGUUUGCUCUCCUAGGUGAACUGCCUACCACGGCUAACGAGCCUCACCUGCCCGGGUUUGUUUAGAGUUUGCUCUCCUAGGUGAAUUACCUCCCACGGCUAACGACCUCCACCUGCCCGGGUUUGUUUAGAGUUUGCUCUCCUAGGUGAAUUACCUCCCACGGCUAACGACCUCCACCUGCCCGGGUUUGUUUAGAGUUUGCUCUCCUAGGUGAACUGCCUACCACGGCUAACGAGCCUCACCUGCCCGGGUUUGUUUAGAGUUUGCUCUCCUAGGUGAAUUGCCUCCCACGGCUAACGACCUCCACCUGCCCGGGUUUAUUGUUCGGAGUUUGCUCUCCUAGGUGAAUUGCCUCCCACGGCUAACGAGCCUCACCUGCCCGGGUUUGUUUAGAGUUUGCUCUCCUAGGCAGAUUGCCUACCACGGCUAACGAGCUCCACCUGCCCGGGUUUAUUGUUCGGAGUUUGCU